rnacentral:rRNA from 1 species
CCUACGGGUGGCAGCAGUGGGGAAUUUUGGGCAAUGGGCGCAAGCCUGACCCAGCAACGCCGCGUGAAGGAAGAAGGCUUUCGGGUUGUACACUUCUUUUAAGAGGGAAGAGCAGAAGACGGUACCUCUUGAAUAAGCCACGGCUAACUACGUUCCAGCAGCCGCCGUCAUACGUAGGUGGCACUCGUUGUCCGGAUUUACUGGGGGUAACGGGCGUGCAGCCGGGAAGAAAAGUCAGAUGUGAAAUCCCGCGGCUCAACCGCGGAACUGCAUUUGAAACUGUUUUUCUUGAGUACCGGAGAGGUCAUCGGAAUGCCUUGUGUAGCGGUGAAAUGCGUAGAUAUAAGGAAGAACACCAGUGGCGAAGGCGGAUGACUGGACGGCAACUGACGGUGAGGCGCGAAAGCGUGGGGAGCAAACAGGAUUAGAUACCCGUGUAGUC